GGGGGGAGGCCGGAUCCUGGUCUGUGUCCCGGCGCCCUGUGCUCCCGGGGCCUGCGCUGUUGGAUUCGCGCUCCCGCCCCGCAACCCCCU
rfam:Canis lupus familiaris chromosome 2, whole genome shotgun sequence.